ncrna:unclassified sequences drum RNA
UGGCGAUGAAGCAGUGGACUGGUUCGGUAUCAGCCGAUUGUGGAGCCAGACCAUGGGUUGAGCAUGAACCACAAGCCGAAUAGACCACAGGGUCGAAAGAAAACGCUAUAA